rnacentral:ncRNA from 2 species
AGUAUUCCCCGCGUCGACGGUUCGCGGUCCCGAACGGGACGGCGAGGCAACAGGGAACCCGGUGCGAAUCCGGGACUGCCCCGCAGCGGUGAGUGGGAACGAACGCCGUCAUGAGCACUGGGUCGCGUCGCGGCCCGGGAAGCGACGGCAAGUAGGACGGCCGGAUUCCGGUGAGUGUCCACGAGUCCGAAGACCUGCCGUCGAUGGGUGCGCCGC